rnacentral:rRNA from 1 species
UACGGAGGGUGCAAGCGUUAAUCGGAAUUACUGGGCGUAAAGCGUGCGCAGGCGGUUGUGCAAGACCGAUGUGAAAUCCCCGGGCUUAACCUGGGAAUGGCAUUGGUGACUGCACGGCUAGAGUGUGUCAGAGGGGGGUAGAAUUCCACGUGUAGCAGUGAAAUGCGUAGAGAUGUGGAGGAAUACCGAUGGCGAAGGCAGCCUCCUGGGCCAACACUGACGCUCAUGCACGAAAGCGUGGGGAGCAAACAGG